rnacentral:tRNA from 1 species
GGAGGGGCUGGGCAUUGGCGAGCCUCAGUGGCUGUAACCCACUCGGUCCUGGACCUGUGGAGGUUCAACUCCUCCCCUCUCCACCA